rnacentral:rRNA from 1 species
CCUACGGGUGGCAGCAGUGGGGAAUAUUGGACAAUGGGCGAAAGCCUGAUCCAGCCAUGCCGCGUGUGUGAAGAAGGCCUUCGGGUUGUAAAGCACUUUCAGUGGGGAAGAAAGCCUUGGGGCUAAUACCCUCGAGGAAGGACAUCACCCACAGAAGAAGCACCGGCUAACUCCGUGCCAGCAGCCGCGGUAAUACGGAGGGUACGAGCGUUAAUCGGAAUUACUGGGCGUAAAGCGCGCGUAGGCGGUCUGAUAAGCCGGUUGUGAAAGCCCCGGGCUCAACCUGGGAACGGCAUCCGGAACUGUCAGGCUAGAGUGCAGGAGAGGAAGGUAGAAUUCCCGGUGUAGCGGUGAAAUGCGUAGAGAUCGGGAGGAAUACCAGUGGCGAAGGCGGCCUUCUGGACUGACACUGACGCUGAGGUGCGAAAGCGUGGGUAGCAAACAGGAUUAGAUACCCUAGUAGUC